AUUGAACGCUGGCGGCAGGCCUAACACCUGCAAGUCGAACGAGUGGCGGACGGGUGAGUAAUGUCUGGGAAACUGCCCGAGGGAGGGGUAUACCUAAUGGAAACGGUAUCUAACACCGAAUUCAAUCGGAAGUGCCCAGAUGGGAUUAGCGAGUAGGUGGGGUAAUGGCUCACCUAGGCGACGAUCCCUAGCUGGUCUGAGAGGAUGACCAGCCACACUGGGACUGAGACACGGUCCAGACUCCUACGGGAGGCAGCAGUGGGGAAUAUUGCACAAUGGGCGCAAGCCUGAUGCAGCCAUGCCGCGUGUAUGAAGAAGGCCUUCGGGUUGUAAAGUACUUUCAGCGAGGAGGCGUUACUCGCAGAAGAAGCACCGGCUAACUCCGUGCCAGCCGCCGCGGUAAUUC
rnacentral:rRNA from 1 species